CCCAGUUCGGAUUGUAGUCUGCAACCCGACUACAUGAAGCUGGAAUCGCUAGUAAUCGCAGGUCAGCAUACUGCGGUGAAUACGUUCCCGGGUCUUGUACACACCGCCCGUCACACCAUGGGAGCCGGAAAUGCCCGAAGCCAGUGACCCAACCUUAGGGAGGGAGCUGUCGAAGGUGGAGCCGGUAACUGGGGUGAAGUCGUAACAAGGUACC
rnacentral:rRNA from 1 species